AUAAAAGGAUACCUUCGGGUAUACCCCAUCCGUGUCUACAUACUCUUGUUGCUUUGGCAGGCCGUGGUCUUCCACUGUGGGCUCUGCCUGCAUGUGCCUGCCAGAGGACCAAACUCUGAAUGUUAGUGGUGUCUGAGUACUAUAUAAUAGUUA
rnacentral:misc_RNA from 1 species